AUCAAUCCAGCUGCCUGCUAGCCAACUAUGUCACGGGAGCUCAUGUUUGGCGGGGUAUCUGUACAUGUCUAUGCAUCAGAUUGAUCUGAAGUUCAAGGACUGGUACAUGGCCAAAUAGUGUUUGAGGUAGAGACAAGUAGGUAUAUCUAUCUAUAAUAUAUAUAUAUAUAUAUAUACUCAAAGCUACAAUGCAAAUAAUAAAAAUAGACUUGGAGCUUUCAGUUUUCUGUUCGGUAGGAGCUGUAAUUGACACGUCAACACAUACAUCCUAAGAAGCAUGAACACAGAUACGGAUGCAGACACGGAAACGGAUAUGAACACGAGACACUGCGAUUUCAAAAAAAUGAAAACACGGACACGGCA